rnacentral:tRNA from 1 species
ACCGGGGUUGCAUGAGCUGGUUCAUGUGCCUCCCUGUUAAGGAGGAGCUCGCAGGUUCGAUUCCUGCCCCCGGUG